UACAGAGGGGGCAAGCGUUGUUCGGAAUUACUGGGCGUAAAGGGCGCGUAGGCGGCCUGUUAAGUCGAACGUGAAAUCCCCGGGCUCAACCCGGGAACUGCGUCCGAUACUGGCAGGCUUGAAUCCGGGAGAGGGAUGCGGAAUUCCAGGUGUAGCGGUGAAAUGCGUAGAUAUCUGGAGGAACACCGGUGGCGAAGGCGGCAUCCUGGACCGAGAUUGACGCUGAUGCGCGAAAGCCAGGGGAGCAAAACGGGG
rnacentral:rRNA from 1 species